AUAUAGUUUGAUUCUAGCUACCCUGCUGACUAGGCCACCAACUUACAUGCAACCCCAAAGAAACCCGAAGCCACUACAACCCCUAAAAGAAGACACAAACUAUCGCCCGCAGUAAAAAAUACUACGACAAUAUACGAAAGUAUGAUCUGGUAACAGGCCAUCUAGGGCUGGUUAAAUUCGUGCCAGCAACCGCGGUUAAACGACAAGCCCAAGCCAACAAAUUCGGGAUCGUUGGAGACCUACACCUUUGGCAAAAACCAAGACUAAUGAGGUCCAAUUCAAACUCCUUAUUUACCACAAAUGCCUAAAAACUAAACCAAGACCACUUAGACAAAAACAAGGAUUAGAUACCCUUUUAUUCUAAGUAAUAAACCAAACCCCGGGAACUAAAAACCAGCGUUUCAAACCUAAAGAACUUGGCGGUACUUUAAUCCAACUAGGGGAACCUGUCCAUAAAAUCGAUAAUCCGCGCUACACCCAACCUUUUCUUGCUAAACAGCCUGUGUACUGCCGUCGUCAGCUUACUCCUAAAGAUAAAAAAGUAAGCCAAACAAACUAAGCUUUAUUAUGUCAGGUCAAAGUGCAGCCAAUGAAAAGGCUGAGAUGGGUUACAAACCUAAUCCAGUCUCUCCAACAUCAUGAAAUAGAUGUAAAAAGAAGGACUUAGAAGUAAUUUAAUUUUAGAACAAUAAAAUGAAUCCGGCUAUUUAAAGUGUGCACACAUCGCCCGUCGCUCUCGCCGAAAGGUGAGAUAAGUCGUAACAUAGUAGGCGUAAUGGAAAUUGCGCCUUCGAAGUA
rnacentral:rRNA from 1 species